rnacentral:lncRNA from 1 species
CUCGGCUGGAACUAAUUAGAUUUUUAUUCAAUUCUUUUCAAUUUAAACAAUAGCAAAUUCGCUUCGCACGAAGAAAUUCGCAAGUGGAAAACCGGCUUAACAUUUUAGCGUUACAUAAUGGCAAAAACUAAUCGGUAACAACUAAUUCACCAGCUUAUUAUAUAGUCUGGCCCCUCUCGCGGUAAACAAAGACUAGUGCCGACAGUGGCGGGGCAAGUGGGGGCAAGGG